CCCCCCAAAACAAAACCCCUCCUCACCUUCCUCGGCGAUCGCGAUGGCGAACAUGCCGGUCUCGGAGAUGCGUCUCCCUCCGCACCUCGCGUACCUCCUCGCCGCGCGCCGCCUCGACACCGCCAAGGACGUGUUGUCGCUGCCGGAGGUGGAGCUCAUGGCCGUCCUCGACGCCGGCGUCCCAACCGCCCGCGCCGCCGUCGCCCACGUCAGCGAGGCCGCCUGCCCGCCCUGCCAGACGGCGCUUGCGCUUCUGGAGGAGCGCGUCAGGCUUGGGGGAGGCGGGCGGCUGGCCACCACGCUCUGCGGGUUGGACGAGGCGUUGGGCGGAGGAAUCCCCAUGGGAAAGCUCACCGAGGUAGUUGGGCCCUCGGGAAUCGGCAAAACGCAGUUUUGCCUGAAGCUUGCCUUGUUAGCAGCAUUACCAGAAUACUACGGAGGUUUGGAUGGUAGAGUUGUGUAUAUUGACACGGAAUCCAAGUUCUCUUCACGGAGGAUGAUUGAGAUUGGUCAGAAAAACUUUCCCCAAAUAUUUCGACAAGAAGGCUUGGCGCAAAAGAUGGCUGGGAGGAUCCUAGUGAUGCGACCAGCAUCUUUAGCUGAUUUCACCAAGAGUUUGGAACAGAUGAAGGUGACUCUUCUUCAGCAUGAUGUGAAGUUACUCAUUGUUGAUAGCAUGGCUGCUCUUAUGUCAUUGGGAAAUGAGAAAGCUACAGCAGGUUUCAGACAACAUCCUUUAAGAUGGACCCUUUCUUUUCUUAAGUCUAUCGCAGAGUUCUCAAGAAUUCCAGUUGUCGUUACAAACCAAGUACGCAGCCAAAGUAAUGAUGAUGGUUACCAUUUUUCCUUUGAAGUGGACAGGAAGGAUGGUAAUAACUGCGCUGAAAGGUUUGAUUCUCAUCUUAUUGCUGCUCUAGGGAUUCAGUGGGCUCAUGCUGUAACUGUCCGCCUAGUCUUUGAGUCUCAUUCAGGCCACAGAUUCAUCAAGGUGGCCAAAUCACCUAUGUCUCCGGCAGUAGCAUUUCCAUUUGCUGUUGAGUCAUCAGGCAUUACAUUGCUAAGUGAUGAAGGCAUUGAUGUGACUGGUCCCGAGAUAACCUCAAUUCGUUGUCAAGGGCAAAAUAUUCUGUCUCGAUAAACCAUUUGAAUGCUACUAUAUUGAACAGGUGAUGGAUGUUUUCGGACCUGAGACUGUGGGGGAGUUAUCUGCAGCAUAUUCUUUUCUCACUAAAUAAUAGAAACAAACGUAUGUACAAGGGAGUUACACAGCCUGGAAGUGCAAAAAGGAAAAGGAAAGAAACAUCAAGAGAAGCUACUCAGUCAAUCACUAAGCAAAUGUUUAUCUGAAGGUUUUGCCCUAAGUAUAUCCCGAGCAAAUUCAACUUCGAAUUCUCUCUUCCAUCUUGUUAGAGAAAGGAUACCCCCAUAGAAAAUUUUUCUGUUUCUAGACACCAGAUGGAUCGGCAAGCCACAGGGAGUAUUUCUCUGCAAACAGCAUUUCUAAAUCUUUGCCUUUAAUGAACAUGCCAAGAAUUGGUAGGUUAAGGUUCAAGUUCAACUGAAUGUCCACAAAUUGCCAGGACCACUGGCUAGAUGAACAAUGAAGAAAGAGGUUAAGGUGAUGGAAAUUGGAAUGCUGCAUCUUGUUAACCACAACCACAAGGAAUAAGAGAUUCAUUGGGAUGUCUGAAAGGACUCCUUAUGUAAGAUUUGUCUUACCACUUACAAGGCAUGAACUGUGAACUGUGAGGUCAUGUAUUAUUUUUGUAGCUUGCAGAAAACUGAUGCCAAUUUGCCGAAGGCAUGAUAAGUUCACAGUUUUGCUUGAACUAUUCACUGAUUGAUCCUAAUUUGUUUAUUUUUCUGACUUUCAGAACUCAACUACUCAUCUGUCCAGUUGUACAGGCAGGCAAUAUUCAAUCGUUGUCACUCUGUACGUGACUAUCCAAAAGUGGUAACAAAUAAUUAUCAUGGUCUUAAAUAGUUAAAUAUCUCGAUCCUAGUUUCUUUUGUGUUGCAACUGUCACCUGUAGGUAUCAUUCCAGUACUGUAUAAUUAUGGUAGCAACAUGAUUAACUCCAGUGAUGAUUCGGUUUUGGCAAUACUACGGGCUGUAUAGGAAUAAGGUUCACCUGUGCAGGUCAAAUUGAUUGAUGUCUAUUCGAGAUAAUUUGAUUGAUAUGUCAGAUCUGGUUUGUGGGUGUUCUGUUCAGUUAGUGGGAGGGGAUUCCUGCUGCUGUCUACUUUAUUGUGCAUAAAAAAAUGGCAGUUAUUCUAUCUUUUCCCCUUAUGAUUCUGUGAACCCUCCGCAGUUGUCCUAUUACUUUGUAAAGAUCAAUUCUUGUGAAGAAACUUUUUCUGAAUUUUGGAAUUUUGCAGGUCUGUAUCCUUUUGUAAGUCCUGCUACAAGGCUGGUAUCCUGCAGGUGAGGUUUCUUUCCAAAUAUCAUUUAUGUUUGUAACAUAGCAUGGACAGCAUAAAGUGAUACCAUUAAGGGGAGAAGAUCAGACAUGGCCUUCUGUAGGAAUUGUUGUUCAGGAAGGUCAUUCAUAACAAGGUUUCACCCUACCUGUACCUGAUGAGAUCAGCAGUCGCCAUUGGUCGUCAGAAUCAAUGCAAGGUACAACAAUUUACUCAUGAGCUUUGAGUUAUCUUGAUUGCAGAAAAUUUAACAGUCUGUGCUUUCAUACGCGACUCUGCUGCCUGAUCCAUUACUAUUAGAUAAUGUAUAAAAUCUUUUAGAAUCCCUGAUUGGACAUUUAAUAUUAGACACGGAACCAUGAAAUUUAGUGGAAAUAAUGGUCUGACCUGUGUGUUUGGUUUGGGCUAGUGGACUUUCUAAGAAUGGAUACCAAUCCUCCACGUCUUGCGAUAGCAUUUUUUAUACCUCGAUAACCUCGUAUGGUGUGUGCGCCACAUCAUGCCGCUUUCUGUUUCCACCCACAGAAAAGAACAGGAGCCACAGCCCACAGUUGCCGCCUUAUGGGCUCCUUUUCCUUCUUAAAUUCAACAAUCACCAAAUCAUACGAAUUCUUUGAAUCCUUCUCGCCUGGCUUUUGUUUAUUCAAUCUAGGAGUUGCCCUUCUCGUCUAUUCGCCCUUGCUAGCUGGAAUGGGCACCCUAACUAAUCUCCUGAAAAAGAAGCUGCUCA